UAGAGUUUGAUCAUGGCUCAGAUUGAACGCUGGCGGCAGGCCUAACACAUGCAAGUCGAGCGGAAACGAGAAUAGCUUGCUAUUCGGCGUCGAGCGGCGGACGGGUGAAUAAUGCCUGGGAAAUUGCCCUGAUGUGGGGGAUAACCAUUGGAAACGAUGGCUAAUACCGCAUAAUAGCUUCGGCUUAAAGAGGGGGACCUUCGGGCCUCUCGCUUCAGGAUAUGCCCAGGUGGGAUUAGCUAGUUGGUGAGGUAAAGGCUCACCAAGGCGACGAUCCCUAGCUGGUCUGAGAGGAUGAUCAGCCACACUGGAACUGAGACACGGUCCAGACUCCUACGGGAGGCAGCAGUGGGGAAUAUUGCACAAUGGGCGCAAGCCUGAUGCAGCCAUGCCGCGUGUAUGAAGAAGGCCUUCGGGUUGUAAAGUACUUUCAGCAGUGAGGAAGGGUGUGUAGUUAAUAGCUGCAUACUUUGACGUUAGCUGCAGAAGAAGCACCGGCUAACUCCGUGCCAGCAGCCGCGGUAAUACGGAGGGUGCGAGCGUUAAUCGGAAUUACUGGGCGUAAAGCGCAUGCAGGUGGUUUGUUAAGUCAGAUGUGAAAGCCCGGGGCUCAACCUCGGAACCGCAUUUGAAACUGGCAGACUAGAGUCCUGUAGAGGGGGGUAGAAUUUCA
rnacentral:rRNA from 1 species